GAUGAACGCUGGCGGCGUGCCUAAUACAUGCAAGUCGAGCGAACAGAUGAGGAGCUUGCUCCUCUGACGUUAGCGGCGGACGGGUGAGUAACACGUGGAUAACCUACCUAUAAGACUGGGAUAACUUCGGGAAACCGGAGCUAAUACCGGAUAAUAUAUUGAACCGCAUGGUUCAAUAGUGAAAGACGGUUUUGCUGUCACUUAUAGAUGGAUCCGCGCCGCAUUAGCUAGUUGGUAAGGUAACGGCUUACCAAGGCAACGAUGCGUAGCCGACCUGAGAGGGUGAUCGGCCACACUGGAACUGAGACACGGUCCAGACUCCUACGGGAGGCAGCAGUAGGGAAUCUUCCGCAAUGGGCGAAAGCCUGACGGAGCAACGCCGCGUGAGUGAAGAAGGUCUUCGGAUCGUAAAACUCUGUUAUUAGGGAAGAACAAAUGUGUAAGUAACUAUGCACGUCUUGACGGUACCUAAUCAGAAAGCCACGGCUAACUACGUG
rnacentral:rRNA from 1 species